AAGUCGUAACAAGGUCUCCGUUGGUGAACCAGCGGAGGGAUCAUUACAGAGUUAUCUAACUCCCAAACCCAUGUGAACUUACCAUUUGUUGCCUCGGCAGAGCCUACCUGGUACCUAUUUCGGAGCAGCUACCCUGUAGCUACCCUGUAACGGGCUACCCUGUAACGUCCUGCCGGUGGACCUUUAAACUCUUGUUAUUUUAUAGUAAUCUGAGCGUCUUAUUUUAAUAAGUCAAAACUUUCAACAACGGAUCUCUUGGUUCUG
rnacentral:misc_RNA from 1 species